GAAACGGUUUGAUAACUAUGUAGCUGAACUUCUGCCACCUGAUGUUGUCUCAGUCUGCUACUCCUCCGCCAUCUUGACUCUGGCUCCUGUAGUGGGAAGUUUCAGAAGAGGUUUCUAACCAACAACUUUUACCACUUUAAAGGAAUAAAACUUUGGAUAAGAUGGAGAGUGCUGGAUUCACAGGGCAGUUGACGAUACUGAGGUAAAGAGAGGGAAAGGGACUUGGCCUGCAGUCACAGAGCCGGGAAACAGCUGGCAAACCUCAUUUAAAGAUCAGGUCUGUGCAGGCCUGCUUCCAGCUUAAUCUGUUCUUCUCCAUAUAUUGCUGUCUGCAUCAUUAUUACUGAUUUGCUAAAUAGCAAAUCAAAUCCUGUGUUACAGGCUUCCCUAAACAUCGCUCUGUGCCUACCACGUGCUGUGUUUCAAUCAACAACUUAUAAAUAAAUAAGUAAAAAAAAAAAAAAAUCUUUAACAGUGAAGUUUGCGGGUUAGUGUAGUUACUCUUCACUAUGGAUGAACAUUAGACUCGGUGGAAGACUUUAAAAAAAUGUGGAUUCUUGGGGCACCUGGUGGCUCAGGUCAUGCUCAGCAGGGGUCCUGCUUCCCCCUCCCCCUGCCUCUAUGCCUACUUGUG